UACGUAGGGUGCAAGCGUUAAUCGGAAUUACUGGGCGUAAAGCGUGCGCAGGCGGUUUGGCAAGACCGAUGUGAAAUCCCCGGGCUUAACCUGGGAAUGGCAUUGGUGACUGCACGGCUAGAGUGUGUCAGAGGGGGGUAGAAUUCCACGUGUAGCAGUGAAAUGCGUAGAGAUGUGGAGGAAUACCGAUGGCGAAGGCAGCCCCCUGGGAUAACACUGACGCUCAUGCACGAAAGCGUGGGGAGCAAACAGG
rnacentral:rRNA from 1 species